AAAUGAGAAGGCUAUUGAGAUUGAACAGAGGAUAUGAUUUGCAGUUACAUUUUCACCCCAACUUACCCAGCUUAUCUUUCCUUCCCGUGGUGUCAACUCAGGGGACGCAAAUGGGUGGAGGCUGGUUGGAAUGGCUCAUACUACAUCAUGAGAUUGGAGCCUGGUCCUCCAUGUUGGCUGAGAGUCUCAGUUCUCCUCCACGUGGCCUCUCCUUGUGGUCAGCUUACAUUUCCUCAAAACGUGGCAGUCUCAGGGCAGUUGGGUUUCUUGUGUGCUGGCUCAGGGCUCCGGAGAGGAUAACAUCAGAAUAUCUUGUUCUUCCUCAGGCUUGGGCCCAGACUAGCACAGCAUCAUUAUCUUUUUAUUCUGUGAGUUAACAUAUUUCAGAGGACCAGUGCAGAUUCAGAGUGGAGAGGGCUGCAUAAGAACACGAACACUGGGAGGUGGCUUCAUUUGGGGCCAUCUUUGGAGACCAACUAUGAUGCAUGAUGUAACUGACCUGAAUUCCCAAGCCCCUACCCCCAGCUCCAGCAUAAGGUAGGUAAGAAGUGACUGGCAACAUAAGUGGGUCAUGUUGGAGGAAAGGUAAGUCUGGAGCUAGGCCUUACAGGUGUUCAGUGCCACAGAUGAAAAUGAUGGUGCCAGGAAAGAGGUAGGGCAGGAGGUCUUUCUCUUCAUGGGCCUCUUCCCAGAUUUCCCCUGUGGAUCUUGUUGGCAAAAACUGAAUCACAUCAGCACCUCUUACUGCAAGGAAGCCUGGGCAAGUCAGAAUCCGUGAAAGGGAAGUGGGAUUGUUAUUUCUGGCCUAAGUCAACCCUGAUUCAUUCUCCAGGCAUGUGUGGGCCAUUGCAGCCUGAAUUAAUCAGGAGGGAAGAAGAAGUGCGACGAUAACUGGCCAGUGAUACACAGUGGGAGACAGACUGCGGAACUGCCCAUGAGGCCAAGCACCUAUUAGUAGACCAAGAAGCAUCACCCAUCCAUGGCCUAAGUCGGCAGCCAGCUAUUGUUCUCAUCUGAGUCUGGGAGUUCAGGAUUUCCAUCCUGACCCGGCUACUUUCUUUCAACAGUUACCCACUGUAAAUUUCCGAAUACUUUCAGCUACUAAUCCCAGUGUACCCAAUUAAAAAUGGCUUUCCUAAUAAAGGCAUUUCAGAUCGAAUUUAGCAAAGUGUUCCAAGGUAGGAGUUUC
rnacentral:lncRNA from 1 species